GACGAACGCUUGCGGCGUGCCUAAGAAAUGCAAGUCGAGCGAGGUUUAGGCUUCGGCCGACGACCUAGCGGCGAACGGUCGCGUAACACGUAAGCAACCUGCCCUAAAGUUGGGGAUAGCCCGCCGAAAGGCGGAUUAAUACCGAAUGUGGAUAUGUAUUCGCAUGUAUAUAUAUCUGAAGCAGCGAUGCGCUUUAGGAUGGGCUUGCGGCCUAUCAGUUAGUUGGUGUGGGUAACGGCCUACCAAGACGACGACGGGUAGCUGGUCUGAGAGGAUGGUCAGCCGGAUUGGGACUGAGACACGGCCCAGACUCCUACGGGGGCAGCAAUUAGGAAUCUUGCGCAAUGGGCGAAAGCCUGACGCAGCGACGCCGCGUGACUGAUGAAGUCUUUCGAGAUGUAAAGGUCUUUUGUUGGGGACGAAGGGAAGUGACGGUACCCGACGAAUAAGCCCCGGCUAACUACGUG
rnacentral:rRNA from 1 species